CUUUAUUUACGGUCCUUGGUCACGAUCCGAAAGGCAUAUCAACAAAUCAGCCGUUCGCAUUAUCCAAUGCUUACCGAAUGCCGAAACAUUAAAGUCGCAGAAACCUUCCGACCUAACCAAAAUAAACAAAACACGAGUUUGUCAUAAUUUAAGCAAACGUACGAAAAUAAAUAUUAGUUUAACCCAAACAUUAAACUGCGGUUGGAUUCUAUAUACUUGAAUAAAGAGUUUCACUGGAGUCUAUUUAUAUAGCCGCAAUGAAACGUGUUUUUUUUUUUUAACAAAAAGGCAGUUAUUUCGGUAAGCUUUCAGCUAUUUCACCCAAGAAGCCUGAGUGCAUGAACACUUCGCAAUAGACAAGAAAAUGGUACAAACACUUGGAGACGUCUAUCCUACCACCGGUAAUUACACUUUUAAAUCCUUGAAUAUUAUACUUGGAUAUAUGGAUAUUAUUUUAAUCGUUACAUCAACUCAAAGAACACUACAUACUUUUUUGGAAGGGCAGUUUUUAAACUUAUUGCUUAGAUUGUGAUUUUAAAAUAAUUGAAAAAUUUUAGACUUACAUUUUGAGGACAUUCUUUUUGGCUAUAUUUACUACAAGAUUCCCGUAAUAUGAAGAUAGUAUUGUGUUCUUGGAAGCCAUCGCUUUACUUAUCUAAAAAAAAACAAUUCUAUAUAUCUCAAUUAGUAUAUAACUUACUUGAUUACAUGAGGAAAAACACAAAAAAAGUCAGAGUCCUAAGCAUUGUAUCAUUCAGUAAGUUGUUGAGGCCUUGUUCACGGUCCACUUGAUGUUUAACAGAAACUGAAGCUCAUAGAGACUACAAUAAUAAUGCCAAACUAUCCAGCUUGAAAUAUAGAUUAGUCUCACUGCACAGCUAACUAACAUUCAAACUGGAACAUAUGAUUGGUUCAUUGCAGAAAUUGACAGGAUGUCGGUGUCUCUAUGUACACCAAGGCUAUUCGCAACAUACCUGAUACUCUGCUAUUAGUAAAUACUAAAAAUACCUCCUACCCAAAACAAAUUUAAUAUUUCUGUCUCUUUCAAACUUAUACACACACAAACAGUAUAAACUAAUGUGAUAAUUCGUUUAAUAAUAAAUAGACUUUAAAUUUACAAGUCAA